CUCAUUAUGAAGACACCAUAACUCUGCCAUUUCCAAACACUCAUUAAUGACCCUUCCUAGGACUUUCCACUGGGAACCCCCUGGGAAGAGCAGGCAACACGAUCCCUCGGCCUGCCAGGUGGUGAGUGGUGUGUGCACAGCUCUCCGCCCUGCUUCAGGAAGAGCUGACUGCAGGUGUAGACAUAGGCCAAGCCUGGGGCCUUGGAGGGCCUCAUCCACCCACAGAGCCCACGCCCUUCCUUUCUCCAUCCUACUGUGGUACAAACACCACCAUCCAGGAGAAGAGAGCUCAGAGGAGCCCGGAAAAUGGCUGAGUCUCUGGACUGAGGCCUGUGGAUAAAGAGAGGAGAGUGCUCCCUGCCAUGGUGGAAGGAGCAUGCAGCGCAGAGGAAGAGGCAGAGAGGGCAUUUCCACGGGUGACGGGAAAGCCAUAAAACAUGACCUGUCACUGCCUGCUCCCUGAAAAUGUUAAACUGUUUUGCCUCCCUUCCCCCUUGGUUCAAGGCCUG
rnacentral:lncRNA from 12 species